UCGACUCGACUCGACUCGACUCGACGCGACUCGACGCGACGCGACUUGUCUCGUCUGGUCUCGUCUCGACCCGCUCCGGCCCGACUCUCGCAUGGAUUCAUUCAGCGCGCGUGCACAAGCGUGAACCGGUGCAGAACUGAUCGGAUUAAUAUUCCGAAACUGUAAACCAUCGGAAUCGAACGAGCAUCCUCCUACGGACCGGGUUCCCGCUUCUAAUGACGUCGGCGGCUCUUCACCUCUCUCUCUCUCUUUUCCUCUUUGUCUCCGUCUGUUCGUCGACGCCGCGCCGAGGCCCGACGAAGUUAUGCGAACCGUUUCAAGAUCGUCUGGUAAUUUCUGUCAUGAUAUUGACAGUAUACUUUAUGAAACACGGAAUCAUCUGAAGGAACCAGAAACGGACGGCGGAACUGAUCGACCGGAUCGAAGACCGAAUUUUUUCACAGCUAAUAUAUUCCAGUCUCCGAGGAGAGAGAUCGACGAGUUUGACGGAUAAAAUGAAAAGUCGUUAGAGCUUCCACCGAAUUAGAGCCGCGAGGUCAUUGCCCAUGUCCGAGGUCAGUUCGAGUGGCUGUUCGCUCUGCGUCUGUGAGGUAUGACGAAUUUUUUCGAAUUUAUGCGCGACAGCCGUGCGCCGAUAUAACAACGAGCAAUUGUUCGAUAAAAACUGCGUUCCGUGGAGAAUGUUUUUUGAUAUUUCAUAAAAAAAUUCCGGUAGGUAGACCUCGCCUAAUUUUACAAAUUGCCCACCGACACUGAGAAUGUUUCUGCAAAUCUGAACUAAAAAUAUAAACUAAAUCCUA